CUCAGAGCAGUUUAUAUAGUAACCUGAAAAAUGUCAUAUGAAACUUUAUUAAUAUUUUUGUGUUUUCCGUUAUUGUUCAUGUUUUGUUUUAUUAAUAAAUCCUUGGAUUUUUAUAGUGUAAAAAUCUUCUUAAUUUAAACCAGCGACAAGUAAGCAGAUUUCAAGGGGAAAAACUAUCGAUAGUAUUCUUUUGAACUAUCGAAACUAUCGAGUGGUCUGACUAUCGAUAGCUUUGCAGCUUUAAUAUUAUGGUAAGCCGCCGGUAGAUUCUAACAUGUCUAUAAGGAACGUGAGUGGUAAUUGGGCUCGAAGUGAAUAGGAAAAGGCAAAUCACCUAGAAAAGCUAUUUUAGCCUAACUGCCCAAAAAACGAUUUUGAGCUGCUAAUUUUGCCCGACACCGCUAACGAGUCUUUAUUAAGACUUCAAAUCAAAAAGAGAGGAAUCCAAAAACGGAUAUGAUAAAAUUACUCCAAAAAUGCUAAUGGCGCUACCAAAUAUUGCUAUGGUAGUACUUUCCUCGCUCUUAAUUGCAAUUUUUAGUUUCGGAUAUUAUCCAAAUUCAUUUAAGAACUCGCAGAUCAUCAUGAUAGAUAAACACGGAAAAUAAAAUAUUCGAAAAAGUAUUACUAUCAACGAUUCCUCCAUGAAAAUAAUAUUUAUAAUUCUAACACACCAACUCAAGUUUCGUGCAAAACAUGGCGCAAGUAAAUAAAAAGCAUUCGAGCUCAGAGAGUACCAUUCAACAAUAUACCUUGCUGUAGCCCAGACAUUCGGUCAGAUGACGAUCUUGUACUAUCAGUUUGGGCACAGCAUCAAUAGUUUCCGGCACAGCUGAUUUUGGAUGACCUUCACGAAAUUCUUCUUGGAGUUAUCAACGACCUCGAUUGAAUUCACCAUACCAUCGAUAAACACUGGUUCUUGAUGGAGCUUCAUUGUCAAAAAUUGAAUAAAGUUCAUCGAUACACUGUUGCUGAGUUAGUCCACCUCGAAAGUUGUAAAAAAUAGUCGCGCGAAAAUUUUCGCGAUUUAAUUCCAUUUUUUGGCGGACUUACCUCCCUAUUUACUAAUACUGAUAAAUUUUCAUACGAAUCCAACGAGUCGCAAUUCAAAGUAGUAUAUUUUAUGUACGAGUAGAUUUAUUAUUGAACUGGUUCAGAAAACUUAAUUAGAAUUUCAGAAAAUGUAAAUAUCCGUUCAUAUGUACAUAUGUGCAUAUGUAUGUAGGGUUUGAAGCUUAAUAUGAACUUCAAAAGUAACAUACAAAAGGUAGAAAAAUGUGCCUAACGUAGAUUACAGAAUGUCAGAGCACUCUACCGUACACAUAUAACGAAAAUAUUUCAUCGACACAUACAUACAUAUGGACACAUUUUUCUUUAACAUUCUCCAUUAUAUAAUACAUUUUUAUACAUAAACAUAUAAUACUUAUUUGUAUACACAUACUUGUAUAAACAUUCGAUGGAGUUAAUAACACUUCAUCUUCUCUAAGAAUAAAAAUGCAAUGGCUGUAGAUUAAUUUUUCCUUAUUUUAACGAUUUUCUUCUGCAUUUUGAUAAUUUUUAUCCGUAAUGUGAGCUGAAUUAUCAGAUUUUCAGAAGAGAACACGCAUAUUUAUUUAGAAUUAAAUGUGCCUUGUGUAAUGUAAAAAAUUUGUUAUGUAAGUUAUUCAAUAUUUUCAAACCUUAUCCACAUAAUGGGAGGAGUAGGGUUACAUAAAAAAUACGACAAUGACACAAAGUCGAAUUGCGGUGCCACUCAGUGCUGGGUCAUCUGAAGUCAAAAAAUCAAAACUACAUAAUCGCUUUACCUAGAUAACGCUAAGAGGGUUUCUUCAAUUUUUUACUUUUUGGGAACGCUUUGAAGGAAAAAAGCGAUUUUUAUCAAAAAAAAAAACAAAAAGGUUAAUUAAUUUUAAAAUAAAAAAUAUUCAAAAAAGCUCUACAGCGUAACCUCGUAAAUUAAGGUGCAGUAGUUUUGAAGUUAUGAGGGGUACCGAUUUUGAAAGCAUAAGUUGUGGUGAAGACGCUUUAAAGUUUUGAACACUAAUAAAUCUGAUGUAAAACGUACGUCAGUUCGAAAUAAAAAUAGCCAAAACUUUGUCAUUAUGCUAGGAUCGGAUAGUUACAACAUUCUAGAGAUAUCAUGCAAUCAGUCAGUUAACUGACUUUUUUCACAGAAGUUGAUGAUUUCCAACCAGACGGACGUCUCAUGUUUCACAUUUAAAAAUGGACACAUUGCGUGCAAAGUUUGGCGGCUCGUUAGUUUUGAGAAAUGGCCGCCAAGAUCAUGAGAUUUAACGCCUCUAGAUUAUUUUCUCUGGGAGUAUAUGAAUUUAAAUGGUUACGCCAAUCAACCAGCAGCGCUCGAGAAGCUCGAAGAUAACAUUCAGCGCACCGAAAUUCCAGCCGAAAUGCUGCUCCGGGUCGAAAAUAUUGUAAAAAUCGUAAACGAACCAUUGACAGUCUGGUUACAUUAAUAAUAAUCGUAAAAACUUCCUUUUUUUUGUUCAUGAAGUCAAUAAGCUAUGCAUUUUUCACCCACUUUUCACAUUUUUAAGUUUUAAUAAGUUUUGAGACGAAGUUGUCGUAUACCUCAUUUCUGUCAUUAGUUAAAAAUAUAUCACAGACGACUGUUGGGUCAUGAAAACAUAAGUAUCUUUAUUUUGCAAAGUUUGCGGGAACAAGUUGAACAAAAUAUAAAACGAUCAGUUUUGUAAAAAAAAAGGGUAGUCAAAAAAGCACGGAAUAUGUUAUCUCUAAUGACGAACACUUGAAUUAAUUUAUUAAAUUUUUAUUUCAAUUUACGAAAUGAUAGCAGAGAUAUGCAAAGGGCGUCAAAUGUUAAAUUUAACACUAUAUUCAACACUAUAAUUAUAAACAAUGUGUUGUACAUACUCGUAUAUGCAUGUCUAAGGUGAUGUAUUUCCGACAGCGUAAAAAGUGUAAAUGUCAGCGACAAUUCUGGCAACCAAUUUGAAAAAAAUAAAACCACUACUAUAAGUCGCGACAAUCCACAAUCCCUCCAAAUUCAAAAGCGAUUAGCUUUAAAUACCCUCCUAACUGUAAUUAAGCAAGUGA